AAGUAAAAGUGUACAAGGUUCCGUAGGUGAACCUGCGGAAGGAUCAUUA
rnacentral:rRNA from 1 species